rnacentral:tRNA from 1 species
GCUCCCGUAGUUUAAUGGAUAAAGCUAUGGUUUCCGGUACCAUCGAUGCGGGUUCGACUCCCGCCGGGAGUA